AGUGUCGGUAAAUUCAUUAAGUCGUGACCGUCGGUAACGUGAAUUCACAAGUUUCUUGCUACGAGUUGCGCACGUUUCGAAUAAGUUGCGCGUGUACGGCAGAUAUCUGUAAAAAGUAGAAAGAUAAUAGGUCGGAAUUCGUGAUUAUAAACCUCGAGCAGUACAGGAAUCACUAGCAGUGGAAGAAGGUGAAAGUUUCUCUUGAUUCCCACUCAUGGAGUUUCUCAGGAAAGUUAACUGAGCCAUGGGGCUUACAGUACCAUGCCUGGCAUAUAAAGAACCUUGUAACACUAAUGGGGAGAAAGAUGAACCAUACGUUGAAGCCAUUAUUGUGUCAAUGCCUAUUCUUUCAAGUUUCUCAACUAAACGGAUACUGGAAACAAUCUACUAUAAUAAUUUGUUACGCUUUUGUAUUUAAAUACCUAAUUUUUAAUUAGCAAAUGAUUGUUAACGAUCAAUUAAAGAUCUGAAUUUGAAUUAUAAAUAAGAGAACUAUCAUUUAUAUAUUGAUAAACAGAAUAUGCUUUCUAUCCUUAACAACAAAACAGUAAUAUUAUUUUUAAUAAUAUAAUCAAACUAAUAAUUCCUCAUUUUUAUGACAAUUGUUCAUCAAUAUGUGGAGGAAAAUUUAUUUAGUUAAAUAUCGAGAAAAUUUUAUUGACAUUCCACGCUUUUCAAUAUUCACAUAAAUAUGUGAAAUGAUGUCAUGAUUAAGAUCAAAGUUCUUCAACUAAUUAGAAUAUUUUACAAUGCUUAUCAAAAUUAGAAAAAGUCAAUUAAAUGUAUUUUAUAAAAUUAAUAUUUUUUAUGUAUUUUAUAGAAAUAUAUGUUGUGCGUAAAUGCGAGCUGCCAAUACAAUAUAUCCGAACUUCAUUAUCAAAUCAUAUUGAAUAUAACUGUAAUUUUGUCACAUUAAAACUCCAGAUGUUUUUGUUUCUAAAUGUUUAUACAUACCUGAGUUUCUCCACCGAAUGUUCUCUUUAACAAUUCAGCUCCACUGGAUAAUAACCCUAAAGAAAGUCUACCUUCUGGAGUUGGUGUACUAGAUCGACUAUCUGGAGGACUAGCAUCAGGACUAUUACAAGGUGUUGCAGUGGGCGUAUAAUUCCUCUCUCCACUCGGCGUUAAUGAAGAAGGGUUAGUGUAUUCUUCAUCUUCUUCAAGAUCGCUUAAAGUGAAAGUAACUAGGCCUAAAUCCUCCAGGCCUCGACCUCCUCUUGUUUUUACUCCUGGCCGUUCUUCUAAAAGA